rnacentral:rRNA from 1 species
AGUGAACGCUGGCGGUAGGCCUAACACAUGCAAGUCGAACGGCAGCACAGUAAGAGCUUGCUCUUACGGGUGGCGAGUGGCGGACGGGUGAGGAAUACAUCGGAAUCUACUUUUUCGUGGGGGAUAACGUAGGGAAACUUACGCUCAUACCGCAUACGACCUACGGGUGAAAGCAGGGGAUCUUCGGACCUUGCGCGAUUGAAUGAGCCGAUGUCGGAUUAGCUAGUUGGCGGGGUAAAGGCCCACCAAGGCGCCGAUCCGUAGCUGGUCUGAGUGGAUGAUCAGCCACACUGGAACGGAGACACGGUCCAGAGGCCUACGGGAGGCAGCAGUGGGGAAUAUUGGGCAAUGGGCGCAAGCCUGAUCCAGCCAGACCGCGUGGGUGAAGAAAGCCUUCGGGUUGUAAAGCCCUUUUUUUGGGUAAGAAAAGCAGCAGGUUAAGACCCCGCUGUUCUGACGGUAACCAAAGAAUAAGCACCGGCUAACUUCGUG